rnacentral:rRNA from 1 species
AACGAACGCUGGCGGCGUGCUUAACACAUGCAAGUCGAACGCGAAGGGGACUCGGUCCUGAGUAAAGUGGCGCACGGGUGAGUAACGCGUAGAUAACCUGUCUUCAUGUCUGGAAUAAUACGCCGAAAGGGGUACUAAUACCGGAUAUCUUGCUUUUCAUAAGUUAUGCAAGCAAAGGUGGCCUCUGCAUAUGCUACUGCAUGAAGAGGGGUCUGCGUACCAUUAGCUAGUAGGUGGGGUAAUGGCCUACCUAGGCGACGAUGGUUAGCGGGUCUGAGAGGAUGAUCUGCCACACUGGCACUGGAACACGGGCCAGACUCCUACGGGAGGCAGCAGUGAGGAAUAUUGCGCAAUGGGGGAAACCCUGACGCAGCGACGCCGCGUGAGUGAAGGAAGGCCUUCGGGUCGUAAAGCUCUGUCAAGAGGAAAGAAGUGUACAAUGGCUAAUACCUGUUGUAUUUGACGGUACCUCUAAAGGAAGCACCGGCUAACUCCGUGCCAGCCGCAGC